UGGGGAAUAUUGCACAAUGGGCGCAAGCCUGAUGCAGCAACGCCGCGUGAACGAUGAAGGUCUUCGGAUCGUAAAGUUCUGUUGCAGGGGAAGAUAAUGACGGUACCCCGUGAGGAAGCCCCGGCUAACUACGUGCCAGCAGCCGCGGUAAUACGUAGGGGGCUAGCGUUAUCCGGAUUUACUGGGCGUAAAGGGUGCGUAGGUGGUCCUUCAAGUCGGUGGUUAAAGGCUACGGCUCAACCGUAGUAAGCCGCCGAAACCGGAGGACUUGAGUGCAGGAGAGGAAAGUGGAAUUCCCAGUGUAGCGGUGAAAUGCGUAGAUAUUGGGAGGAACACCAGUAGCGAAGGCGGCUUUCUGGACUGCAACUGACACUGAGGCACGAAAGCGUGGGUAGCAAACAGG
rnacentral:rRNA from 1 species